CUAGUUCCUGGCAGGGGAGAUACCAUGAUCACGAAGGUGGUUUUCCCAGGGCGAGGCUUAUCCAUUGCACUCCGGAUGUGCUGACCCCUGCGAUUUCCCCAAAUGUGGGAAACUCGACUGCAUAAUUUGUGGUAGUGGGGGACUGCGUUCGUGCUCUCCCCUG
rnacentral:snRNA from 1 species